CCACAGUUAGUUUAAAUAGAAAUGAAUUCUGAGUUAAUCAGAUAUUCAUAUUUUCUAUGCUAACAUUUUGGUAUAUUAAAAAUUUUUUCAGCCCUAAUUUAUUAAAAGAAGAAUAGGAGCAAGACAAAAUUAUGCUUCUUUUCAUAAAAUCAUAUAUAUUUUUAUAUACAAAAAAUAUGAAAUUAUUAAUUUCAUAUCAUGAAUAAUGUGUACAUCGAUAUUGAUGUAUGCACAAAUGCAUUGAAAUAGAGUAAAAUGUAUUUUAAAAUGAUAAUAUUUGAAAAUAGGCCAAACAAAGAAGAAAUAUCGUUCUUACAUAAAAUAUUAAAAAAAUAUGUAUUAGAGAACGAAGAUUCUUUUUCAUAAUACGUAAGUAACAUGCGCAUGUGCAUUGCAAAUAUAAAUUAUAGUUAUUUUAUUAAUAAUAAUUGAUGAUAAUGCUAAAAAUGAAAACUAAUUUUGCAUAAUGCAGUUAAGUGUGCUGUUUUCGUAUUAUGAUAUUUUCAAAUAUAUAUAGAAAAUAUCAUAUUCUCAUAUAUAUAUAAUAAAUUUUAUUAUAUAUAUGUAAAAAAGAAUUAUAUU
rnacentral:misc_RNA from 1 species